GCAACAUUUUAGUGUAGACAUUUACACAGUUAGGUCAACGUAAACUGCCUUGUGUUGACCUAACUCUGUAGUGUAGACCAGGGCUUAGCCUCCUAAAUCACUUAAGCAUGUUAGAAAAAUAUCACUACUGUCUUUCCACUUGCUCCAGAACUGACAAAGAUCUACAAUACAGCCAAUCUAUUGCAUAACUGAACGCCAUGAACAAAGUGUUUUUUAUUGUUUAUCUGAGCUGAAUUAGAGAUGAGGGAAAUACUAACAGCAAAAUUCAAAAUGCUUGAAAUUUGAGCAUAUGCCCCCUUUUGUUGCAAACUUAGUAUUAGUCCAGGUUUUCUAAAGUUUCUACACUAAUAUAGAACCAUUUCUGAGUGAAAUUGUUUUCACUGCAAAAACGAGGAAAAUUUCAUGAUUUUUCAUGUUUACGCACAGCUAAAUUACAAAAUGUGAAAAUGUAUAAUGUCAGUGUCAGGAAAACUGGUGAAACUAAAUUGUGGAUAAUUAUCCAAAAAUAUUUCCUUACUAUCAUGCAGUGGUAAUUAGAUGAUCGUUAGUUUUUAGUAAUAGCUAGGUCUUAUAACCUCUUUUUAGGCCAGGCAUUAGAGGGCAACAGUCCAUAUGUAAAACAGUACAUCCCACACUCCUCCCUAUUCAAAUAGGCCUACAUUUUUAUUAUUCUAUUUUCUUGAAUAAAAAAUGAGCAAGAGUAUCAUGUGUCCAACUCCAUAAUAACAGGUAUAUAAUCUCAGCAUGCUGUUUACCCCUGUGCUUACAUGAUCACAAUUGAAAAGCCAUUUGGGAAUCUUAUACAGGAUUGUAAGCUGUUCGGGGCAGAUACUGUCUCACGCUAUGUAUAUGUACAGGACUAGCAGAAUGGGGGGGGGCCUGAUCUUUGGUAAGACCUUUAGGCUUGACUGUAAUAUUAAUAAUUCUUAAAACAGAUUAACCAGCCAUCAUUAAGAAGAAUAAGCACAUUCAUUAGUUUUAUGAAAAUCGAAACUAUUGUAGUUUCACCUUGAAUCUUUGCUGUUUGCCAUGCAAACAAACUAAAGAUACAUCUUGCAUGUAAACAAUCUUGCAUGUAAAUUUUGUUAUAAAAAACUGUAUUUGGUUUUUGCUGCAGAAAUUGGGGAAAUUUCACCUCAGGGGCAUAUGCAGAAAUUUCCAGUCAGAAAGAAAUGAAUGGCAGAUUGUUGGCCCAAAACUGAAUUAAUAGAUUCUAAUUUUUGUAUAUCUAAUAUCUAUCUGAGGUGUCUGUAAUAAGUCUGGCUUUUUGGUACCAAAUCUAAGCCCUACGAAAGUGCAUAAUUAGAUUGUUUUAUCUUUCUCCACAUAAAGCUACUACUAUGACUCCAACUCAAAGUCUAAUACUGAACCACUGGGCAAGCAGGAAAACAAUGACGUACAGGCUGGGGUUUUAAAUGUUUUUUUUCCCUUUUAAACUAAAGGGGCCAAAUUCAUUUCUGAUGUAACUUCACUGAAUUAAAUCAAGUUACCUUGGGGCCAAAGGUGGUCCAAAGUUUUUAAUAGGCUGCCAAUGAUACCCUAU